CCUCCCUCCUGUCUGCCAUUAGUGCUUUUACUAGGACAGGGAAAUAAACUGAUGCAUCUCGAAAAAGCAUUGAUUCUGAGAUUUUGAGACAGCAUCGCGAUUCUUUCUCGAGUCAAUUCUGAACUUAGUUUUGAACUGAACGCAGAUGGCAUUGCAUGCUUUAGAAACAUCCAUACUCUGCUUGUUUCCCAAUCCUUACCCAUACACUUGAAUCAAAAAUAAUCAUUCAUUAAAUUCUAAAAGGUUGAAGGGAAUUACAAGGGUGUUCACACACAGUGUGCUCUGUUUCUGUUAAUCUUGCGUCAUAAAAGCAUACUCAUCCAAACGCACAAGCGUUCUUCAGCACUCUUCAUUAGCACUUGAGUGUACAGACUAAAACUAGAUUAGAGCGCCAUCUGCUGUUAUAAUCUACACUCAGAAUCAAUUCCAGAGAGAAUCAAGAUGCAUUCGGAAGAUCUCGGAAACAAUCCAAGAAUCAAUUUUGCUUCAAUUUAUCGUCGCAGCCCUAGCUUGUACUCAGGGUCCCCGCGGGUCCUUAAAAAGUCUUGAAAUGUCUUAAAUACAAUUUUCGAUUUUUAAGGUCUGAAAAUGUCUUGAAUCCUGGAAUUUUCCAUAUGAAUGUCUUAAAUUUCAUGUGGGGUCUUAAAUUUCAUGUCCGACUCGUCAUUUUUAUUUAUUUUUUCAACCGCAAUUUGACCAGCACAACAUUUGGGGGCAGCACUUCGUGGGUGCAACCUGCAUCAUACCAUAUGUCACAUACGAGUAAGUGAUUGAUGAACGCGUUGCGCUGAUGGUUCGCCACCACGGCAUUUUGCGAAAUCGCAAACAUGGGCAAAGACGAUAAAGCUGUGGACAAGACCACGAUUGUCAGGUCUCGCUAUCUUGGUUCUCAGUUUUUGAGCACCUCAAUGGCAGAAGACUUGCUGGAGCACUUUAAGGAGGGCACCAAGGAAUUUAAUUUAAGGAACAUGCUUUCUGUGUCAAUGGAUGGACCCACAGUAAAUUGGAAAGUCAUGGAUCUCCUACAACUGGAACAUGCAAUAAAUUUCUGAUCCUGA